rnacentral:rRNA from 1 species
AGAGUUGAUCAUGGCUCAGCGCGAACGCUGGCGGCGUGCCUAAUACAUGCAAGUCGUGCGUGAACCCUCGAUUUAUAUCGGGGUAGUAGCGCGGCGAACGGGUGAGUAACACGUGGGUAACCUACCCCCAAGUUCGGGAUAACCCCGGGAAACUGGGGCUAAUACCGAAUGUGCCCCGAAGGACCGAAGUCUUUCGGGGUAAAGGUGGCCUCUGAUUCAAGCUACCGCUUGGGGAGGGGCCCGCGGCCUAUCAGGUAGUUGGUGGGGUAAUGGCCCACCAAGCCUAAGACGGGUAGCCGGUCUGAGAGGACGGCCGGCCACACGGACACUGAGACACGGGUCCGACUCCUACGGGAGGCAGCAGUAGGGAAUAUUGGGCAAUGCCCGAAAGGGUGACCCAGCGACGCCGCGUGGGGGAUGAAGGCCUUCGGGUCGUAAACCCCUUUUGCAGGGGAAGAAACCUACGAGCUCGAAUAGGGCUCGUAGCUGACGGUACCCUGCGAAUAAGCGCCGGCCAACUACGUGCCAGCAGCCGCGGUAAAACGUAGGGCGCAAGCGUUGCGCGGAUUCACUGGGCGUAAAGGGUCCGUAGGCGGGACUGUAAGUCGAGUGUGAAAGCCCGGGGCUCAACCUCGGGACUGCACUCGAUACUGCAGUCCUAGAGUCCGGAAGAGGGGGGCGGAAUUCCCGGUGUAGCGGUGGAAUGCGUAGAUAUCGGGAGGAACGCCGAUGGCGAAGGCAGCCCCCUGGUCCGGUACUGACGCUCAGGGACGAAAGCGUGGGGAGCAAACAGGAUUAGA